AAUGGGUGAUCCAUCAAAAUUGACAGGUGGUUCCGAGUGAAGAAAGGAACACAGAUAGGCUUUCGCCUAUCGUAGUUUAGCUCAGCAAUGUGCCCAUAGAUUUUUUAUGAACUCGCUGAACAAUCGGACGAUGGACUGUGACUGUAUUUAUGAUGGGUAGCGUUUCUUUUUCGGAAGUGCGAAGAAGUCGACACAGAUGUGCCAUGGGUUGAAUGGCGAGCUAGUUUUGUGCGAGCCUUACAUUGCUUGGAACCCUAUAGAAUGCUGGGAAAAGGCCAUUGCAUUCAAGCUCCGAUGCCCGUACACGGUAUGGUGCCACGCAGAGAUCAAGAAGAGAAACGCCUGGAGGAUGAGCAGACGACAACGUGGUAUGGCCACGCUUUCACGGGGCUAGUCCGGGCUGUGCCGACACCUGCCGAGCGGUCACAUGCGUUUGUUCGCCUAUUUCGCUCGUACGAUGGUCAAGAACAACAAUAGUAACCGCAUGUGGUGCAUUUCCCACUGCAGGCAAAAACCGAAUUUCCCACAAUGAGAUACGUCUUCUUUCCGGCAAAAUCCGCCAAGAAACAAUGGUGAGGCUACGGAUAGGCAGGGUCGUAACCCCACAUAGAACAUUCCCUUAUGUGCUGUACUCUGUAUAACGCGGAAAGGAGUGUGUUACUCGGGUCCCUCAAGAAGACACGAGUUCCUCACAGUUCUCUUCAGGGCAUUGUUUUCCCACGCGGAAACCAGUUGUGUAGGAAGGAGGUUUCUCGCCUUCUUUUAGAUUACCUGCAGGACACGGAUUUGGCCUCCACAUGGCGAUCUUAGGAGUGAUUACUGUAAUUGUGAGGUCUAUGACUGAUUUAUGUAAUUUAUUUAUUUUAAGUGUCCCUACGGUGGAGCAAUUGCCGGCAGCAACUGCAAAGGCUAAUCCCACCAGUAGCCUACAACCACUCAACUCAACAACUCGACUCACCCAGCCGAUGAAGAUGAUUAUGUGCAAUUACAGAAAGUGGCAGCGGGCAUUUGAAUUGGACAGCUAGAGAAGUUACAGACAUUCGCGCGUAUGGGCUAUGUCUGCACUUGCUUUAGUUUUAUUUCUUUAUUUUUUUUAAUUUUCAGCGCACCGGUUGUAGGAUUUCCGGCAGUCACAUUAGGCAAAUAAAAUUUUUCUGGUAUGCUUA